rnacentral:rRNA from 1 species
GAUGAACGCUGGCGGCGUGCCUAAUACAUGCAAGUCGAGCGAACAGACGAGGAGCUUGCUCCUCUGACGUUAGCGGCGGACGGGUGAGUAACACGUGGAUAACCUACCUAUAAGACUGGGAUAACUUCGGGAAACCGGAGCUAAUACCGGAUAAUAUAUUGAACCGCAUGGUUCAAUAGUGAAAGACGGUUUUGCUGUCACUUCUAGAUGGAUCCGCGCCGCAUUAGCUAGUUGGUAAGGUAACGGCUUACCAAGGCGACGAUGCGUAGCCGACCUGAGAGGGUGAUCGGCCACACUGGAACUGAGACACGGUCCAGACUCCUACGGGAGGCAGCAGUAGGGAAUCUUCCGCAAUGGUCGAAAGCCUGACGGAGCAACGCCGCGUGAGUGAUGAAGGUCUUCGGAUCGUAAAACUCUGUUAUUAGGGAAGAACAAAUGUGUAAGUAACUAUGCACGUCUUGACGGUACCUAAUCAGAAAGCCACGGCUAACUACGUG